GGGCCUAUAGUCUAGUGGAUAGGACACGGGGCUUCGGACCCCGGAACCAGGGUUCGAAUCCCUGUAGGCUCG
rnacentral:tRNA from 1 species